UGUUAAAAUUUUUAUCCAUUUCUAAUGUAAAAUUUGAUGUGGCUGAUGAAUAACUAAACAGUUUCACAGGGCAUGCAACAUGUACCUAUACUAACGUGUAUGAACUAUUUUUUAACAACAGAAAUAGAUGAAUUUUUUAACA
rfam:Gossypium hirsutum cultivar TM-1 chromosome 24, whole genome shotgun sequence